ACGCCUCCUGCACUCCCGGGGCGUCUGAUUCCUCACUGCGAGGGAAGGCGCACCCAGAGCGCACACGUUGGGACCCGAAAGUGGUGAACUAU
rnacentral:rRNA from 1 species